CUACGGGGGGCUGCAGUGAGGAAUUUUGCGCAAUGGGGGCAACCCUGACGCAGCAACGCCGCGUGAGUGAAGAAGGCCCUUGGGUCGUAAAGCUCUGUCAAUGGGGAAGAAGUUACUUGGUAUUAAUAGUGCCUUGUAUUGACGGUACCCAUGAAGGAAGCACCGGCUAACUCCGUGCCAGCAGCCGCGGUAAUACGGGGGGUGCAAGCGUUAUUCGGAAUUAUUGGGUGUAAAGGGCACGCAGGCGGUCCUGUCAGUCAGAUGUGAAAGCCCGGGGCUCAACCCCGGACGUGCAUUUGAAACAGCAGGACUUGAGUACGGGAGAGGAAAGGGGAAUUCCUGGUGUAGAGGUGAUAUUCGUAGAUAUCAGGAGGAACACCGGUGGCGAAGGCGCCUUUCUGGACCGAUACUGACGCUGAGGUGCGAAGGCGUGGGUAGCGAACGGGAUUAGAUACCCUCGUAGUC
rnacentral:rRNA from 1 species